CACUGAGGCAGGAUAUUAAAUGAUUAAAUUAAUGAAUGUUUUAAGGGACUAAUGGCAAGAUGGACAAUUCGUCCCGAGCCGAACUCGCUAUAAAAGGAGAAGCAGUAGGGUUUUAGAUCUCACUGCCUUUGAGAGAACAGAGCGUGAAUAUCCUUCAUGCCGCUCUUGUUCCGUUGCGGGCAUACAGCAAUUCCCAUGAUUCCUUCCAUUGAUCUUUGCAAGCAGAUUGAUUCUCUCUCUUGCAGUUGCAUGAAAGAAAUGCGUGAGAGCUCAAUUUCACCCGGCCUAGAGUUGAAUAAUGGGGCAGCCUCAAGGUUUUUACAUGUUUUCUCACUCGUGUUUUAAUUCAGGAAAUUGCCCUAAAUAUUUCUUUCAUUAUUUCCUCUUUUUUCAAAUCCAAACAUUUAUUGACCAUGGCUACUCUUAUAGAUCUGACCCCCCCUAUUUGUAUUUUCUGGUUUUGUUCAGCUCUUCAGCAUAUUAAUGGAUUCUCCCCCUCGUAUAAUCAUGGUGGGAUCUUUUUA